ensembl:snRNA U5 U5 spliceosomal RNA
AUACUCUGGUUUCUCUUCAGAUCGUAUAAAUCUUUCGCCUUUUACUAAAGAUUUCCGUGGAGAGGAACAUUUAUGAGUUUCUACCCAAUUUUUUGAGGCUUCACUUCGGUGAAGCU